rnacentral:rRNA from 1 species
AUUGAACGCUGGCGGCAGGCUUAACACAUGCAAGUCGAGCGGGGGAAGGUAGCUUGCUACUGGACCUAGCGGCGGACGGGUGAGUAAUGCUUAGGAAUCUGCCUAUUAGUGGGGGACAACAUCUCGAAAGGGAUGCUAAUACCGCAUACGUCCUACGGGAGAAAGCAGGGGAUCUUCGGACCUUGCGCUAAUAGAUGAGCCUAAGUCGGAUUAGCUAGUUGGUGGGGUAAAGGCCUACCAAGGCGACGAUCUGUAGCGGGUCUGAGAGGAUGAUCCGCCACACUGGGACUGAGACACGGCCCAGACUCCUACGGGGGGCAGCAGUGGGGAAUAUUGGACAAUGGGGGGAACCCUGAUCCAGCCAUGCCGCGUGUGUGAAGAAGGCCUUAUGGUUGUAAAGCACUUUAAGCGAGGAGGAGGCUACUUUAGUUAAUACCUAGAGAUAGUGGACGUUACUCGCAGAAUAAGCACCGGCUAACUCUGUGCCAGCAGCCGCGGUAAUACAGAGGGUGCGAGCGUUAAUCGGAUUUACUGGGCGUAAAGCGUGCGUAGGCGGCUUAUUAAGUCGGAUGUGAAAUCCCCGAGCUUAACUUGGGAAUUGCAUUCGAUACUGGUGAGCUAGAGUAUGGGAGAGGAUGGUAGAAUUCCAGGUGUAGCGGUGAAAUGCGUAGAGAUCUGGAGGAAUACCGAUGGCGA